GUAAAGCAUUUCAGUGCGAGUCGGAGACUUCCGGGUUCAGCUGGAUAUAAGGACAUAUUAACAACUCCUUAGUGAGACGGCGCAUGUCAAAGGGGUAUGCCACAAGUCUCUCACCACCCUGCAAGUUGGCACCAAGCACAAAUGGAUGGCUCUCCAUCCAGGAGAUCAGGGCAAGAGUCUCCACUGCAACCUGCAAGGCAGAACAUAAAGGAUGGGUACAUGGUGAUUUGGUAUCAAUUUGGGCACCAUGCCCUUAUCCUCUGCAUCCCAAAGAAUGUUAUUUAAGUCUGGAAAGUUCUGGAAGAUGUCAUGGCCAUCUUCAGUCCAGUGUCCUAAUGUCCAGCUACC